rnacentral:lncRNA from 1 species
UUGCACUGUUCCUUUAAUGCUUCCGAGACCUGGGUCGUCCUUCUGGUUUAAAAAUAAACUUCCCUGCUUCUUUUUCUUCUUCUACUCUGAGGCUCUUAGGGACAGAAGAAGCCUGCUAACAAGUGGGCCAUCCUCACCAAAGUUGCUACAUAAAAAUCAAAAUCAAGGACUCUUCUUAUUAGCAUAUACACAGUGUAUUAAUAUGCUGACAUGUGCUCCUUCCCUCGUCUAUCAAUAUGAGAUAAUCACCAAAUGCAAAUUUCAGAAAGGACUUUAAUGGCCGGAGAAGAGUGGUGGCCUCUAUACACAAUCACUGUUUGAACACAUCAAGAGUCAAG